GCCUGGUGAAGUCUCUUUGUUACUGACUUGAGUUGCAAUCUGAGUUGCUUUUCCUUUUCUCCAGGUGGAUGCCUGAUUACUAGCUUGAACUAUAUUACUUCGAAACUUGGAUCGUCUUCCCUCGUUCUCCAGGUGGUUGCCUGAUUGCUGAACUUGAAUUGUGUUCCCUUGUUCUCCAGGUGGCCUCCUAACUGCCAAAACUUAAAUUAUAUUCCCCUGUUCUCUAGGUGGGCUCCUGACUGCCAACAACUUGAACUGUAUUCCCUUGUUCUCUAGGUGGGUGCAUGAUUAUCAAAGCUUGAAUUGUAUUCCCUUGUUUUCUAGGUGGAUGCCUUUUUACCAAAACUUGAACUGUAUUACCUUGUUCUCCAGGUGGGUGCCUGACUGCCAAACCUAAAACCUGUAUUCCCUUGUUCUCUAGGUGGGUGCCUGAUUACCAAAUUGAACUGCAUUCCCUUGUUCUCCAGGUGGGUGCCUGAUUAUCAAAACUUGAAUUGUAAUCCCUUGUUCUCUAGGUGGGCGCUUGAUUACAAAAACUUGAGUUGUAUUCCCUUGUUCUCCAGGUGGGUGCCUCAUUAUUAAAACUUGAAUUGUAUUCCCUUGUUCUCCAGGUGGGUGCCUGAUUUCCAAAAC
rnacentral:lncRNA from 1 species